rnacentral:rRNA from 1 species
UACGUAGGGUGCGAGCGUUGUCCGGAAUUACUGGGCGUAAAGAGCUCGUAGGUGGUUUGUCGCGUUGUUCGUGAAAAACUCACAGCUCAACUGUGGGCGUGCGGGCGAUACGGGCAGACUGGAGUACUGCAGGGGAGACUGGAAGUUCCUGGUGUAGCGGUGGAAUGCGCAGAUAUCAGGAGGAACACCGGUGGCGAAGGCGGGUCUCUGGGCAGUGAACUGACGCUGAGGAGCGAAAGCGUGGGGGAGCGAACAGG